rnacentral:rRNA from 1 species
GGCAAGGCUGGGCACUCUGGAGAGACUGCCAGGGAUAACCUGGAGGAAGGUGGGGACGACGUCAAAUCAUCAUGCCCCUUAUGAUCUGGGCGACACACGUGCUACAAUGGCGGUCACAAAGUGAGGCGAACCUGCGAGGGGGAGCAAACCACAAAAAGGCCGUCCCAGUUCGGACUGUAGUCUGCAACCCGACUACACGAAGCUGGAAUCGCUAGUAAUCGCGAAUCAUAAUGUCGCGGUGAAUACUUUCCCGGGUCUUGUACACACCGCCCGUCACACCAUGGG